rnacentral:rRNA from 1 species
GACGUAGGGGGCCAGCGUUGUUCGGAAUUACUGGGUGUAAAGGGUUCGUAGGCGGUGCGGCAAGUCGGGUGUGAAAUCUCUGGGCUUAACCCAGAGGCUGCUUCCGAAACUGCUGUGCUUGAGUGUGGGAGAGGCGCGUGGAAUUGCAGGUGUAGCGGUGAAAUGCGUAGAUAUCUGCAGGAACACCCGUGGCGAAAGCGGCGCGCUGGACCACUACUGACGCUGAGGAACGAAAGCUAGGGGAGCAAACAGG